CCAGAGGCGGCCUCACCGGACUCCAUUCCCAGAAGUCGCCGCGGGGCUCUGUUUCUGGCCAGUCUUUUUCAUUCCUGCCGCCAGGUUUGUGAUACACACACGCUCAGGGAUUGUAUUUCCCAGAGACGCUUCCGCCUGUGCUUGCUCCCAGAAUAUAUUAUCCAUCGUAUUUUUUUGUUGCAUACGUCUUUAAAGUCCACCAGAAUCCAACGAUACCGAGCUUCGGGGACAGGAAGCGACUUAGCCGCGAGGGAUCCUGGGAACGCUGGGUUUACGCAGGCGCCUAUCUUCGCUGGCGCUAGGUACCAGGUUUCCCCUCCGCGGUUCGCUGCGCGCGGUACGCCUGUCCCUGCUUGGCUUCCAUUCAGGUGCCUAAGAACAGAGCUCCAAAGUACCUGACAAAGGCCAACGAACUACAGAGCUGGACUAUGCACAUGCAGAGGUGAGAUUCCAACACCCUCUCUCAGUAAUCGACAGAACCAGUGGACAGAAAACCUGGAUUUAGAAGACAUGAUAGUUAAUUUUAUGUGUCAACCUGACAGGCUGGAGUGCAGUGGU